UACGUAGGUGGCAAGCGUUGUCCGGAUUUACUGGGCGUAAAGAGCGCGCAGGCGGCCGAGUAAGUCGAAUGUGAAAGCCCCCGGCUCAACUGGGGAAGGUCAUUCGAUACUGUUCGGCUCGAAGAUAGGAGAGGGAAGCGGAAUUUCAGGUGUAGUGGUGAAAUGCGUAGAUAUCUGAAGGAACACCAGUGGCGAAGGCGGCUUUCUGGCCUAUUCUUGACGCUGAGGCGCGAAAGCGUGGGGAGCAAACAGG
rnacentral:rRNA from 1 species